rnacentral:lncRNA from 10 species
CUAUGAUUCAGAAGGCAACAAACUGGGGGAAUUCCUUGCUUAUCCUUAUGUUGAUCCUGGAACCUUUAAUUAAGAAUAGCUACACUCACAAAAAUACCCCCUCAUGAAAUAACUGUUCUCUUGGAUGGUUACCUUAUUUCUAAGAAACGCCACUGAGGAACAGGAUCCACUUUGAACAGUCCGCUAAAGCUAUCAAAAAAAAGUCCAAAUGACAGAUUUUCUUAUAAUGAUAGUAUUUAAAUGUUUAUAACAUAGUUUAAUUUUAUAUUUAUUCCAGAUAGUAUUUAAUUUAGUGCUUUUUACCCAUUUUGAGUUGAGUUGUAGUACUUUAUAUAUUCUGACUUUAAAUCCUUUGUCAGACACACAUAUUCUUUCUCCCAAUCCAUGCCUUCCCUAUUCAUUCUCUGUCCAGAGUUUUUUGCUAAAGAUAGAAUUAUUAAUGAUACAUCAAGUAGUGGAAGUGUUUUGAAAAUUCUUUGAAGAAUGUGAGAGCUACACCUUCUACCAUGAGGCUUCCAAGGUUGUAUUUAAAUUUGACUGAAUAUCUGGAUGGCUAAGAACAGACAUUUAUCUUACACAUGGAAAACUGACGAAACCUAUAAGCCUAUGUGUUUGACAGUGAAGUAUGUUUUAUGGACUUAAAUGCCACAAACAGUUAAGUCCAUUGGCUUGGAGAUGACAAGCACGAGUUUCUGGUAUGUCUAGUGUUCUCAUUCACUGAUUCAGUCAGUACACAGAUAAUCAGUAUAGAGAACUUAAGAGGCUGGCUUAUGUUAUACCUAAAUUUUUACUUUCUUGUAUACAACAAUGCUAAAAUUGAGCAGAUUGAUAACUGCCAGCAAACCAUAGAUUUAAGAUAAAUGAAUGAUUUACCCAACCCUAAAAUUCCAUGGGUAAAAAUUUUGAUUCCUUUAUUUUCAAUACUGCGUUCCUUAUAGGUCUUACAUGCAUAUGCAAGGAUAUUUUAUCUUAUUCAUUCAUUUCAUACUCUCAAAACACCAAACUUCAAAAAGUUAAUUAUUGUCAUAAUGCAUUAUUCCAUGUGUGGUGUCAAUACAUUUUAGCGGACAAAGAAGAAACAUGCCAGUUAAAACAUUUCUGCUACUGGGAUUCUUUAUUAAUUAUUUGAGAAUGUUAUUUUGCUAGUUCUUAAGGUUAAGUUUUUCAUCAAAGACUCAGGUACCUAUUAUUGUUCCCUGGUGAAACUGAGGAGAAAAGUUAAUCAACCAGGUUACUCCCACAGUUUGCCCGUGUGUUAUGUAUCAGUUAUACAGGUAUCCCACCAAGUUCAAGUCAAAAGAAAUUCCUAACUUUGUAUAUUUCUGGAGCUAUAAAACCCCUGAUUUAAGACAGCUUUUCUCUUUUUUCGAGGCAGCUUUUCUUUAUGCUUAUUUCAAUCAAAUGUAACACGCCUGUCAAAUUACAUGUAACACAUUAGCUAAUGAAGAUAGGCAACUGAAAAUGUUGUCAUGAACAUGUCAACCUGCUUGG